rnacentral:rRNA from 1 species
UCUUAGACAAUGGGCGCAAGCCUGAUCUAGCCAUGCCGCGUGAGCGAUGAAGGCCUUAGGGUUGUAAAGCUCUUUCAGCUGGGAAGAUAAUGACUGUACCAGCAGAAGAAGCCCCGGCUAACUCCGUGCCAGCAGCCGCGGUAAUACGGAGGGGGCUAGCGUUGUUCGGAAUUACUGGGCGUAAAGCGCACGUAGGCGGACUGGAAAGUCAGGGGUGAAAUCCCGGGGCUCAACCCCGGAACUGCCCUUGAAACUCCCGGUCUUGAGGUCGAGAGAGGUGAGUGGAAUUCCGAGUGUAGAGGUGAAAUUCGUAGAUAUUCGGAGGAACACCAGUGGCGAAGGCGGCUCACUGGCUCGAUACUGACGCUGAGGUGCGAAAGCGUGGGGAGCAAACAGGA